rnacentral:rRNA from 1 species
UACGGAGGGUGCAAGCGUUAUCCGGAUUUACUGGGCUUAAAGGGUGCGUAGGUGGGUUGGUAAGUCAGUGGUGAAAUCUUCGAGCUUAACUCGGAAACUGCCAUUGAUACUAUUAAUCUUGAAUUAUCUGGAGGUAAGCGGAAUAUGUCAUGUAGCGGUGAAAUGCUUAGAUAUGACAUAGAACACCCAUUGCGAAGGCAGCUUACUACGGAUACAUUGACACUGAGGCACGAAAGCGUGGGGAGCAAACAGG